rnacentral:lncRNA from 1 species
CGUGGCCUCAGUUCCUUCUAGGCCUCGCGGAGGGAGGGGGGCAGGGUUAGACCAGGCCCACCCCCGAGACAUGAGCAGCGGCUCCCAGACUCUGGCCCGCUGUCCUCACCGCUGCCCUCAAGGCGCGCUGGGGGCGGCAGGGGGAGUUCGGGGGGCGGUCUGCAUCUGACUCAGGGAGGCAGGCCGGCAGGCUGGCCUGGGCUGAGGCUGGGAGCCAGGGGGAGGCCCCUACCCAGGCGCCUCAUGGCCGUCAUGUGUUCAUUCUGCCUCUACCAGAGCACGCCUGGCUCCCCAAGACCCGCCUGGGACAGCAGCUCUCACUGCCCAGAAGGGGCCGGGCUGCUGGGGGCGGCCUGCUCCUGGGAUUCGGAGCGUGUGCGGGCGGGGCGCCACCCGCCGUGUCAUCGGUGUGUCCAGGUGGGGGACGCCCUCCGUCCCUCUUUCGCUUGGCCCGCCCGCCCCGGGCUGGUGUCCGCUCAUUCCUCACCCGCAGUGCACCCCCGGCAGGCCUGACCACCCGUGUCUCGAGCUGGCCGGCCGGCCCCGGGCAGGUAGGGGGAGGAGCAUCCCGCGGAGAAGGCGGAACCCGGGCGCAGGGGGCGGGGCGGGGCUGGCCGGGUGUGUCCGUCUGGGCGAUACGGGCCGCGGCGGCCUGGCCAGGCGGGGCGAUCGGGACCGCUCGGAGGCCUGGCCCGGGCCUGCUGCGAGGUCCCCUGCAGGUGGCGCCGCGGGUCGGACGCGGACCGGGCCCCAGGGCCGCAGGCCAGCCGGGUCCUGCCUCGCCCGGAGCGCAGCCGCUGGCUGGGGGCGGGGCCACAAGAGCAGCGCGCCUCCCACUGCAACGAGACCCCCGCAUCCCAGCUGGUACACAGUCCACGAGCUGCGACCCCCGAGUGGAGGGCCCGAAAGGAGUACCGAAAGGGGCGGGUCCGGCCCCUUCCUCUCCCCAGGAGCCUGGUCAAGCCCGCGGACACGCCCUUCUUUCGCCUUGGGCUGUCCACCGGCCGGCCCAGGGGCGUCAUCCCGCGACCCGGCUCCGAAGGCCGUGGUGUGCGGGUGUGGCCAGAACCUGCGCUCCGGGCCCUGUGGGCGCAAGUGAAGUCCCGGGUGCUCACUGGCAUCUCGAGGUGGAGUGCGGACCCAAAGUGGACACACAUCCUAGCUCGGGGAAGCCGUGCCUGUUGGGGGCCCUCCUCUGGCCUAAGGGCAGAGGUGGAGUGUCCUCAGGCCCAAGUUGUGCAGCCCGAUCCCCCAGAGCAGGGACCCCGCUGCUCUGGAGAGAUGAGCAGUCCUGGGCUUGGGGCUUCCUGUUGCUGUUUCCUGCCUGCAUAUCCCAGGGGAGUGUUCCCUCCAGCUAGGAAUGGCUGGUGAUGGUCUCCAGGCAGCCUGAGGCCCGCGCAGAGCAGGGCUCAGGGAAGAACUGCCCACCCCACCUUGCACAAUACCAUCAGCCUCCAUUCCUUCUCUGAGAGGGCUGAGCACCCAGCAGUAGGAAGCAACUGGGCCUUUCCAAACUCUGCCCCACCCCCGCCCUGGGCCCCAUGUCCUGUGC